GGUUAAAUGGAUUAAGGGCUGUGCAGGAUGUGCUUUGUUAAACAGAUGCUUGAAGGCAGCAUCCUCCCUAAGAAUCAUCACCACUCCCUAAUCUCAAGUACCCAGGGACACAAACACUGCGGAAGGCCGCAGGGACCUCUGCCUAGGAAAGCCAGAGACCUUCGUUCAAGUGUUUAUCUGCCGACCUUCUCUCCACUAUUAUCCUAUGACGCUGCCACAUCCCCCUCUCCGAGAAACACCCAAGAAUGAUCAAUAAAUACUAAGGGAACCCAGAGGCCGGUGGAGCCUCCGUAUGCUGAACGCCAGUUCCCUGGGCCCCCUUUAUUCUUUGUCUGUA